UACGAAGGGUGCAAGCGUUAAUCGGAAUUACUGGGCGUAAAGGGUGCGUAGGCGGGCAGGUAAGUCAGUGGUGAAAUCUCCGAGCUUAACUCGGAAACUGCCAUUGAUACUAUUUGUCUUGAAUAUUGUGGAGGUAAGCGGAAUAUGUCAUGUAGCGGUGAAAUGCUUAGAUAUGACAUAGAACACCAAUUGCGAAGGCAGCUUACUACACAACGAUUGACGCUGAGGCACGAAAGCGUGGGGAUCAAACAGG
rnacentral:rRNA from 1 species